rnacentral:rRNA from 1 species
UACGGAGGAUCCAAGCGUUGUUCGGAUUCACUGGGCGUAAAGGGUGCGUAGGUGGCUUGGUAAGUUUGAUGUGAAAGCUCAGGGCUUAACCCUGAAAUGGCAUUGAAUACUAUUGAGCUGGAGGUUUGGAGGGGGGACUGGAAUUCUUGGUGUAGCAGUGAAAUGCGUAGAUAUCAAGAGGAACACCAGUGGCGAAGGCGAGUCCCUGGACAACACCUGACACUGAGGCACGAAAGCCGGGGGAGCAAACAGG